rnacentral:rRNA from 2 species
AAGACCUAGUUAAUAGGUAUGCUUUAGGAGGGGCUUGCGCCAUAUUAGUUAGUUGGUAGGGUAAUGGCCUACCAAGACGAUGAUGUGUAGCUGGACUGAGAGGUUGAACAGCCACAUUGGGACUGAGACACGGCCCAAACUCCUACGGGAGGCAGCAGUAGGGAAUUUUCGGCAAUGGAGGAAACUCUGACCGAGCAACGCCGCGUGAAUGACGAAGUACUUCGGUAUGUAAAGUUCUUUUAUCGAGGAAGAAAAGCAAAUGGCGAACCAUUUGUUUGCCGGUACUUGAUGAAUAAGCCCCGGCUAAUUAUGUGCCAGCAGCCGCGGUAAGACAUAAGGGGCAAGUGUUAUCCGGAAUUAUUGGGCGUAAAGGGUGCGUAGGCGGUCUAGUAAGUCAGUGGUGUAAUGUCAACGCUUAACGUUGUCCGGCUAUUGAAACUGCUAAACUUGAGUUAGAUAGAGGCGAGUGGAAUUCCAUGUGUAGCGGUAAAAUGCGUAAAUAUAUGGAGGAACACCAGAGGCGUAGGCGGCUCGCUGGGUCUUAACUGACGCUGAGGCACGAAAGCGUGGGGAGCAAACAGGAUUAGAUACCCUGGUAGUCCACGCCGUAAACGAUGAGUACUAAGUGUCGGGUUAAACCGGUACUGAAGUUAACACAUUAAGUACUCCGCCUGAGUAGUACGUACGCAAGUAUGAAACUUAAAGGAAUUGACGGGACUCCGCACAAGCGGUGGAUCAUGUUGUUUAAUUCGAAGAUACCCGAAAAACCUUACCAGGUCUUGACAUGUUUUUGCAAAAUGAUAGUAAUAUCGUGGAGGUUACCAGAAACACAGGUGGUGCAUGGUUGUCGUCAGCUCGUGUCGUGAGAUGUUAGGUUAAGUCCUAAAACGAGCGAAACCCUUAUCGUUAGUUGCCAGCACGUUAUGGUGGGGACUUUAACGAGACUGCCAAUGAUAAAUUGGAGGAAGGUGAGGAUCACGUCAAAUCAGCAUGCCCCUUAUGACCUGGGCUACAAACGUGAUACAAUGGCUGUUACAAAGGGUAGCUGAAACGCAAGUUCUUGGCCAAUCCCCAAAAACAGUCCCAGUCCGGAUUGAAGUCUGCAACUCGACUUCAUGAAGUUGGAAUCGCUAGUAAUCGCGAAUCAGCAU